rnacentral:rRNA from 1 species
CCUACGGGUGGCAGCAGUGAGGAAUAUUGGUCAAUGGACGAGAGUCUGAACCAGCCAAGCCGCGUGAAGGAUGACUGCCUUAUGGGUUGUAACCUUCUUUUAUAUGGGAAUAAAAUGUUCUACGUGUGGGAGUUUGUAUGUACCACUUGAUUAAGGACCGGUUAAUUCUGUGCAAGCAGCCGCGGUAAUCCGGAGGAUCCGGGCGUUAGCGGGAUUUAUUGGGUUUAAAGGGUGCGUAGAUGGCUGGUUAAGUCAGUUGUGAAAGGUUGCGGCUCAACUGUAGAAUUGCAGUGGAAACUGGCCGGCUGGAGUACAGGAGAGGUGAGCGGAAUGCGUGGUGUAGCGGUGAAAUGCAUAGAUAUCACGAAGAACUCCGAUUGCGAAGGCAGUUCACUGGACUGCAACUGACGCUGAGGCUCGAAAGUGUGGGUAUCAAACAGGAUUAGAUACCCGAGUAGUC